CCUACGGGAGGCAGCAGUAAGGAAUAUUGGUCAAUGGACGCAAGUCUGAACCAGCCAUGCCGCGUGGAGGAUGAAGGUCCUCUGGAUUGUAAACUUCUUUUAUCUGGGAAGAAAUGGUUGCUUUCUAGCGAUCUUGACGGUACCAGAUGAAUAAGCACCGGCUAACUCCGUGCCAGCAGCCGCGGUAAUACGGAGGGUGCAAGCGUUAUCCGGAUUCACUGGGUUUAAAGGGUGCGUAGGCGGAACAGAAAGUCCGUUGUGAAAUCUCCGAGCUUAACUCGGAAAUUGCGGUGGAUACUAUUGUUCUUGAAUACUGUGGAGGUUAGCGGAAUAUGUCAUGUAGCGGUGAAAUGCAUAGAUAUGACAUAGAACACCAAUUGCGAAGGCAGCUGGCUACACAGAUAUUGACGCUGAGGCACGAAAGCGUGGGGAUCAAACAGGAUUAGAUACCCUAGUAGUC
rnacentral:rRNA from 1 species